UUUUCUUCAAGAGAAGUCCAUUCCACCAGAUAAACCAGUAUCAAUUUUGAAGUCCCCACAGCAACUUCAGAACCUCGACAGAUAACAGACCAAGAUGUGUUCUGAACUCUGUGAAUGCUUUUGCGAGAUCAUGGCUAAGCUGCUGUGUUGUGAUUGCGAAGAUUGUUGUGACUGCUGCUGUGAGGAAUCUUAUAACAACAAAGAGGAAGAAAAGAGAAAGAGAAGACAACAAGAUGCUGUCGUGUCUUCACAACCCACUAGCAAUGAUCCGACUAGAAGAUCACUAGUAUGACAUCUAUACGGAGAACUCUUUGUAUUAUUAGUUUAAAAUGAUGUAAAUAGCAAUAAAAUCUAUUUAUCAUAUAAA